rnacentral:tRNA from 1 species
GCGGAUGUAGCUCAGUGGUAGAGCACCACGUUGCCAACGUGGCUGUCGAGGGUUCGACUCCCUUCAUCCGCUC